rnacentral:lncRNA from 1 species
AGAAUAAGAAAAUGAAAGGUAAGGGCGGAUAGUUAAGGUCUGCGAAUGCCAAGCAGCUACCUCGAUGAUCUUCGAAAAUUCGGACUCCACAAUUCAGCAACCACCGUGACCGGAAGCACCUGGAUCUGAACACGAGGUGCAAGGUGUAGCGUGAGGACAACUAACUCAAUAAGUAAAAAAUCUAAUCUUUGGCCUGAAAGUAGUGAAGAACCUAGAAGGUACAGUUCAAUAUAAAAAUAACAAUAGAGAAAUACAAGCAUGCUUUCAAGUUUCACAGUUAAAGUCAAUACAAGUAAGAUAGAUCAAUUCUAAAUGAUAUGAUGGAUAUAACCUCUCUACAUCUACAUGCCAAUGCACAUGUUGUAUAUGAUGUACAAUGCUGAAAGCCUCGUCUACCCACACUUUUAGAAUACUCAAUCACUAAGUAAUGUAUAUGACGAAUCCAACCCAGGGAAGAUCCAUCCUAGAUACAUAUCUACAUCAACUGACAGUCAGCCGCUCAGUACUGUAUAAGGUCAAUCCAGCCCGGGGAAGAUCCAUCCCCAAACAUAAAUGAUUCGGGCAUGCCCGGGAAGAUCCAUCUUGAUGCACUUACUGGAGGUGUAUACAGACUCCAGAAGUGCUCCUUCAGCCCAAGCGCUAUAAUUAGCCAGAUCCAGGCAUAAAUCAAUAAAACGUGUUGCGGCGUAUAGCCUGAUCCCAAAAAUGUCACUCACAAUCAGGCACUCGUCCUCACUCAGUCAUCAAUAUCUCUAGUCUUUUUCUCUUGGGCUCACAAUCUCAUGAAACUAGCCCAAAAAUGAUGAUAUGAUGUAUCAAUAAAUAGCAACAGAGACUGAGAUAUUAUAUUCAUGAAUAAAUAUGACUGAGUAUGAGAUUUCAAUAUAAAUGAUAAGUCAACAGCAAGGAACGACCAUUAUGGGUCCCAACAGUAUCAACGUAUAGCCUAAACAUGAUUUCUAGCAUGAUUAAAAUCUCAAUUACUUUAUCACAUGAUGAAAAUACGGAUAACAACAAGAUAAAUAAGCUUUUCAACUCCAUGGAAUCGACCAAGUCCCAGUUCUUGCGGUGAUCGCCCACAUGCCCCCUCACUUAACAUGUACGUCACGAAUCAUAUAAUUAAUAACUCGGGAUUUUGUACCUUUGUGACCAAGUUUAGAAGUGUUACUUAUCUCAGACGGUGCAAAUCUCUACUCCAACAUUCUCUUGCCUCGCAAAACAACCUCUGGAUGUCUUGAAUCUAGUCACAAACAGUUCGAUACAAUCAACACAAGCUAAAGGAAUCAAUUUCAUAAGAAAACUAAGCUCUUGAUCAAAAGUUAAAAGGUCAACUCAAGAGUCGGCCCCCAAGUCCAUGUUUUGGAAUCGGGUAACAGUAUAAAAUCCAAAUACCCAUUCAAAUACGAGUCCACCCAUAUCAAAAUUACUCAGUUCCGAUACCAAAAUCUUGAUCAAAACCUCAAAAUUUGGCUGAAGAACUUUCCUCCACCCCCCCCCCCCAAUUUUCCACCCCAAACGAUACAAUCAACACAAGCUAAAGGAAUCAAUUUCAUAAGAAAACUAAGCUCUUGAUCAAAAGUUAAAAGGUCAACUCAAGAGUCGGCCCCCAAGUCCAUGUUUUGGAAUCGGGUAACAGUAUAAAAUCCAAAUACCCAUUCAAAUACGAGUCCACCCAUAUCAAAAUUACUCAGUUCCGAUACCAAAAUCUUGAUCAAAACCUCAAAAUUUGGCUGAAGAACUUUCCUCCCCCCCCCCCCCCAAUUUUCCACCCCAAAUUACGAAUUUAAUGAUGAAAUCAAAGACAUAAAUAUGGAAAUUAAUCAAAACUAGGUAAGAAUCACUUACUUCAAUCAUCCACAUGAAAAUCUCUCUAAGAAUCGCCUCCCACCAAGUUCCCAAAAUUAAUUUUUGUGUUAAGAAUUCAAAUCCUCCUUUUUGGAAAUAUUUAAAUAUGCCUAGCGAUCUUCUUCUUCGCGAACGCGGCCCUUCUCUCGUAUUCGUGUAGCAAUAAUCCAUCUGCUGCCCAAAGGCCUUCUACAUGAACGCAAGUCUCCAUUCACAAAUGCGGAUGGUUAUUGGACCCCUAGCUUCACGAUCGCUAUCCCUAUCUCACGAACGCAAGGACCAAACGCGUGGAGUCCCAACUGUUG